CAAAUAUGGAGCAGGGCAUUCUGGGGUUCGUAGUUUUUGUCUUAGACAGACUCGGGACGGGGUCUGUCGUGAGACAGCAAGAAGGACUUGCCACGGGACGAAGAAAAAUAAGAGGGCAUCGGAUCCCCUGGAACAGUUGUGAGCCAUUGGCAAUCGAACUCCACUAGUCUACAGGAACAGCAGGCACUCUUCACCCUGAGCCAUCAAGGCCAGUCAGAUGUUGAUUUUUUAAAACUUACUGGUCACAAGAACAAUAUGCUCCUGGAUCUUGCAGAACUUCAAAAUGAAUGGGACCAGAACACUACCAAAGUAACCCGUGCUCCUUGAAAAUAGACAGAAAUGCUUUUUCUGGCAUAGCAGAACUCUAAUUGUUGGAAGCCUAGAGAAAUCAAGUGAAGAACGAUCCUACAGCAAGAGAAUCAACUGAUCCUGAAGGGAAGGUGUACUUCUGAGGACCCCUAGCUUUGUGUGGGAGAGUUUUGUGUUAUACGUAUGUGGGUGGGUAUGCAUACCCAGGUGGGCGGAGUCUCACUUCUCUCCUGCCAUGUGUGUUCCUGAGCCUGAGUUCGGGUUGCCAGGCUUGGCAGCAAGUGUUCAUAGCUGUUGAACUAUCACACAGGCCUUGGUUUCAUUUUUAAAUGCAAUACUGGACAAUUCAGCUUCAUUAUGGUUGUUUUAGAGAUAGAUGCCUUUGCACUUUGGCUAGAAAGGGUAAAGAUAGUGACCAGUUUGAAGACACAGAUAAUGCCGGAAGUCAUUCAAGGUCAACCUUGAUCCCCGGUCUCAAACUACAAUAAUAGUGAUGAGUCUAGAUAAGUAAACCUCACAAUGUGUGCGAAAGGGGGUGAGAUGGAAGGGGGAAAGAGUAAGAGAGAAACACAAAGACAGGAAAGGGAAGGAGAGAUGCGUAUGGUGGGGACAGGUACUGAGGGAACACCGUGUAAAGACACACGGAGAUGGCGGCAGCCAUCCAAAGGCCAAGGAGGGGCCACGGAGGAAACUGUAACAGUGGUGACCCCCUUCAUCGUAGACUUCUACAGUCCAUGAGUAUGAGAAGUCUAAUGUAUGUUCAUGUUAGCCACCCAGACUGAUACUCUCAUGGCAGGCGGCCUUGGCAGAGGAAUAUGUUGCCCUAGAAAGAACGCCUGAGAGAGAGCGAUGGGGAUCUCUGUUCAGAGAAGUCAGUGCUGAGAAAGUGCACCGAGCAAAGACAUGAAAAGACUCAGCGAACUAUGAUGGGAUCAAAAGAUUUAGCAAAUUGUAUUAAAGGGAAAAGGACACUGAGAUACUUUUCCUUCUGUUAAUUAUCCUAUAAUCUGCAGAACUGGAGCUCUCUGGAGAUACAGAGACUGUCUAAAUUAAUACCCAAGAUGAAGAGAAAAUGGGCAGUCACCUUCAUCCCAGUCCAUAGACUCCAAAAUGUCGAAUGAGCACCAAGUUUCAUUUUUAAUUGUAAGACAAAAUGCAUUUGAUACCAUUUGUACCCUGAUUUAAGGACAAGGCACUUCUAAAGAAAAUGAAUAUCAUGAAUUAUGUAGCUCAAAAACUGCUUAGAAAAAGAAUAAAGGGAAGUUAUGUCUUUCCUCGUGGCUCAUUAAAGAAAUUAUGGAAAUUAGAGAACCUGAAUAUGUAAAACAAAAAGGCCUGAAGGAUGGAUUUUGGUUGGUCAUGGCAAAUGCUACAUAUGGCUUGUUUGAGCUCAGUCAUUCUAAGCUCAGGUUCUACACUGGAAUCAGAGUAUUUUUAUAUGACCAAUGCUGAGAUCCCACCACCAAACAUUCAGUGGAUCUGGGAUGAGACAAGGUCAUUGCCCAUGAUAGCCUGAGGUAUCUAAUUGCCAGUUAAGAAUAAUCCUUGUGGAUUCCUGGGAAUUUCCCUAGCACCAGGGUUCUUCCUUACCCCAUAAUGUCUCCCUUUAUCAAGAUAUUUCUUUCAUUGCUCUCCCACUCCAUCCCUCCCCAGCUCGACCAUCCCUUCCCCUCAUGUUCUCAUCCCCCAUCUUCUCCCCUCUAUUGCCCCCCAUCAUCCCUGGUUUACUCAUGGAGAUCUCCUCUGUUUCCCCUUCCCAAGAUGAUCCAUGCGUCCCUCUUAGGGUCCUCCUUGUUUCCUAGCUUCUCUAGAGCUGGGGGUUGUAGUCUUUGCUUUAUAUCUAGUAUCCACUUAUGAGUGAGUACAUACUAUGUUUGUCGUUCUGAGUCUGGGUUACCUCACUCAGGAUGAUAUUUUCUAGUUUUAUCCAUUUGCCUGCAAAUUUCAUGAUGUCAUUGUUUUUUACAGCUGAGUAAUACUCCAUUGUGUAUAUGCACCUGUCAGGGGCCAGCCCCGACCUGUCUAAGGGUUCUUGAGGGGAGGAGUGAGGAAUAUAUAUAUAGACACAGGAUAACUUCUGAAAGGCCCUGGGUUAAUACCCAGCCACCCCAACUUUAUUCAUAAUGGGCCUUUUAUACAUCAGCAAGGGGAGGGGCAAAAGACCUCCCAUUUCAAGAUCAAAGCACAAUGUACAACCAAGUAUAGACCCUUCAAAACACCUGGUAACCACACCCCUGGUCAGAUCAUCCUAUUAUGCUGCCCUGUUGAGUAAAGCAAGCUCAGACUUUCUGACCUUAAGUAAGGCCUUAGUAGGGAGCCUCUGUGGGUCCCCACAUUUUCUUUAUCCAUUCUUUGGUUGAGGGGCAUCUAGGUUGUUUCCAGGUUCUGGCUAUAUGAAAUACCCAGGAAUCCACAAGGAUGACCCCACAUUAGACUACUAGCAAUAGUGGAGAGGGUGCCUGAACUGGCCUACCCUGGUAAUCAGAUUGGUGAAUACACUAACUGUCAUCAUAGAGCCUUCAUCCAGGAACUGAUGGAAGCAGAUGCAGAGAAUCACAUCCAAGCACCAGGAUGAGCUCUGGGAGUCCAGUCAAAGAGAGGGAAGAAAGAUUAUAUGAGCAAGAUUACAUGAUCUUGGGGGGGCCAAGAUCAUGAUGGGGAAAUCUACAGUUCCAAGCUUGUAGGAACUCACAAACUUUAGACCGAUAACUGUGGAACCUGUAUGGGACCAAACAAGGCCCUCUGCAUAUGGGAGACAGUUGUGUAGCUUGGUCUGUUUGAGAGGCCCCUGGCAGUGGGAUCAGGAUCUAUCCCGGGUACAUGAACUGGCUUUUUGGAGCCCAAUACCUGUGGUGGGAUACCUUGCUCAGCCUAGAUGCAGUGGGGAGGGGCUUGGCCCUGCCUCAACUGAAUGUACCAGGCUUUGUUGACUCCCCAUGGGAG